CAGACUUUUGCAGCGACAGGCACACAACCAACCAACCAACCGUCUCUGCUGCUUUCCAAAGACUUACUGCCACUGGGACAGCUACACACACACUCACACACUUGCUUUUUUUUUGGAUUUGUUGUCAAGUUGUGUUGCUUUUUUUUACUUUUUUCUCACCUUUAACAAAACUGUUGUCCCGUGAACAAAUCCCCGGCAGGCAGCUCUCUCCCGUCGGCUCGAGGACGAGAGGAUAACGCUCCCCCCCCCCCUCAUACAGUCCUCUAAUCAUAUAACAGGUGACUGUUGAGAGAGUUUUUCCACCUUUAUUGUGUCCUUUCUGUCUCUCCACGCUUCUCCUGACACAUUUGGGAUCGGUGUAGCCGGCUCACACCGCCGUUACCUUUUAACUAUUGCGAGCAACAGAGUCGGAGUUUUUUUUUUUUUUUUUUGCAUUUCACAGUUAGGCUCAUUUUCUGGUUUUGCUCCUCCGAGCUGCAGGCUGUGUCACACGGAACUCGGGCGCUUUCAACAGGUUUCCAGCCUUCGCUUCCUCGCUUUGCCUCCAGACAGCUGUGUGUGCCCGCCCGGGAUUCUCUUCUCUCCAGUCUGACCGUAUUCUUAUGGAUAUUGCAACAGGUCUGGUGUCACUGGAGCGCCUCUCCGCGGGAGAACAGUCCGAGACGUGCAUCAUGCUGGACGGCAUAAAAAUGGAAGAUCAUCCCCUGCGAUCGGGACAAGCCACGCUCGGAGUCAUGCUCGGGACUGACUGUCAUCA